rnacentral:lncRNA from 1 species
CUAUGCUUACUCCAUCUUACUUCUCUUAGGUCUUACAAUGGAAGUGCCCUAUUACAUUUUGUUCUUUUCUAUGAUUUCCAAUUAUUUUAUGAAAUUUUUCAUUUAUUUUUUCUGUUCUUUCUAUCUUUAAUUUCUAUGUAACUUUUUGAAAUAGAUCUCAAAGAUUUUAUAUAUAUAUAUAUAUAUAUAUAUACACACACACACAGAGAGAGAGAUAUAUAUCUACUGUACUAUUGAAGUAGAUUCCUAAAGUUUUUAUCUCUUCUAGAAUAUUGGUUUCACAACACCCCUAUUAUGUGUAUUUAAUUUUACCCACCACAUGGCGUUUUCAAAAAGUCUUUAUUUGGCGGAAUACAACUUCAGAAUCUGAUUCGAAGAGAAAAUUGCUCACAGCCGUGAGCCACUGUGCCUGGCCGAUUUUUACUAUUUAAAGAAGGAAGAAUUUUAGCAGCGUGGGGUGGCUCAUGCCUGUAAUCCCAGCACUUUGGGAGGCUGAGGUGGGCGGAUCACUUGAGGCCAGUAGUUCAAGAACAGCCUGGCCAACAUGACGAAACCCCAUCUCUACUAAAAAUACAAAAAUUAGCCAGGCGUGGUGGCACGUGCCUGUAGUCCCAGCUACUCGAAGGCUUAGGCAGGAGAAUCGCUUGAAUCAGAGACAGGGAGGCUGCAAUGAGCCGAGAUUGCACCACUGCACUCCAGCCUGGGCGACAGUGCAAGACUCCAUCUCAAAAAUAAAGAGGAAUUGGAGGAGGAAAUAAAUGAAUAAAUGACAAAGGUGACAAAGGACCAAAGAUCUGUGACUUGUGCAAAGAUUGCUCUGUGGUAAUUAUUACAGAAACAAUGUUUGUAUCUUAUUUUUUAGGGAAUUUUGUAUAUUGUCUAAUCUGAUUUACUUUGUUUUUAAUAGUUUGCUGCAGGUCUAGAAGAUGUCACAGAAUUUCAAGGAAGAGAGGGGCAGUUAUCAUGGGACACCCGCCAUAUGCUGGCAAGGAAGAUGGUCAGUUCUUCUGAGCCACAAAGGCCCCCAACAUCCUGGAGUUGGUGUUGCCUAGCAUCCACGGUGCGCCCCCUGCUGGUGGAUGGCUCAGGAUGGGGCAGUUGCCGUGGGAGGCCCGCUGCCUGCUGGAAGGAAGAUGGUCAGUUCUUCUGAACCACAAAGGCCCUGCAGAGUCCUGGAGUCUGUGUGGCCUGGCUUCCAGGGUUCACCUCAUGCUGGUGGAUUGCUCAGGAUGGGUGCCGAAGGUCUUUAAGGUCGUCAGCUCACCUACUGCCCAGCCUGUGGUGUCAAAUGUCCUGCCUCUUCAAAUGUGUUUGGAUCGAUGAUGAGUCCCCCCAAAAAAACAUUCCUUGGAAAAGCUGAACAAAAUGAGUGAAAACUCAUACCGUCGUUCUCAGCGGAACUGAGGUCCAGCGCGUUGCCUCCAGCAGGGACUGUUGGAGUGAGGGAGAGCUUCCACUAGUCCCUAUAGGUUCCACCACCC